UACGGAGGGUGCAAGCGUUAUCCGGAUUCACUGGGUUUAAAGGGUGCGUAGGCGGUCUGACAAGUCUGAUGUGAAAUCUAUGGGCUCAACCCAUAGUCUGCAUCGGAAACUGUCGGGCUUGAGUAUGGGAGAGGUGAGUGGAAUUUCCGGUGUAGCGGUGAAAUGCGUAGAUAUCGAGAGGAACACCGGUGGCGAAGGCGGCCUUCUGGACAGUGACUGACGCUGAGACGCGAAAGCGUGGGGAGCAAACAGG
rnacentral:rRNA from 1 species